AGUCCGAAGAACAUCUCGUCUUCUUCUCCUCUUCUUCGAUUCUUUCACCCUGUGUCAAUUCUUCUUAAUUCUCCAUGAAUUCAGAGAUGUUUUUGAUGAAUCUAAGUGAAGACUGGUACCCGAUUGCCGAUUCAUUCAGGUUGCAGAAUCAACAAAGUUUAGAUAUUUAUCAAUUUUACCAAGAAAAACGAAAAUGUAUAUUUUGUGUCUCUCGUUUUGAAGAUGUAUUUCUUUUGGCAGAGUUGGAACAAAAGUUGGGACGAAUGGAUAAGUCUGGACUGUCUGUUGAAA